UACGUAGGGCGCGAGCGUUAUCCGGAAUUAUUGGGCGUAAAGAGCUCGUAGGCGGUCUGUCACGUCUGCUGUGAAAACUGGAGGCUCAACCUCCAGCCUGCAGUGGGUACGGGCAGACUAGAGUGCGGUAGGGGAGAUUGGAAUUCCUGGUGUAGCGGUGGAAUGCGCAGAUAUCAGGAGGAACACCGGUGGCGAAGGCGGGUCUCUGGGCCGAUACUGACGCUGAGGAGCGAAAGCGUGGGGAGCGAACGGG
rnacentral:rRNA from 1 species